UACAGAGGUCCCAAGCGUUGUUCGGAUUUACUGGGCGUAAAGGGCGCGUAGGCGGCUUUGCGUGUCUUUCGUGAAAUCCCUCGGCUCAACUGAGGACGUGCGGAAGAAACUGCAGGGCUGGAGUCCGGGAGAGGAGGGUGGAAUUCCCAGUGUAGCGGUGAAAUGCGUAGAUAUUGGGAGGAACACCGGUGGCGAAGGCGGCCCUCUGGACCGGUACUGACGCUGAUGCGCGAAAGCGUGGGGAGCAAACGGG
rnacentral:rRNA from 1 species